UACAGAGGUCUCAAGCGUUGUUCGGAAUUACUGGGCGUAAAGGGUGCGCAGGCCGCGCGGGCAGUCGAAUGUGUAAUCCAGGGGCUCAACCCCUGAACUGCGCUUGAUACUUCCGCGCUCGAGCUUUGGAGAGGAGUCUGGAAUUCUCGGUGUAGCAGUGAAAUGCGUGGAUAUCGAGAAGAACACUUAGGGCGUAGGCAAGACUCUGGACAAAUGCUGACGCUCAUGCACGAAGGCUAGGGUAGCGAACGGG
rnacentral:rRNA from 1 species